rnacentral:rRNA from 1 species
GACGUAGGGCGCGAGCGUUGUCCGGAUUUAUUGGGCGUAAAGAGCUCGUAGGCGGUCUGUCGCGUCGGUCGUGAAAACUUGGGGCUUAACCCUGAGCUUGCGGUCGAUACGGGCAUGACUGGAGUUCGGCAGGGGAGACUGGAAUUCCUGGUGUAGCGGUGAAAUGCGCAGAUAUCGGUAGGAACACCAGUGGCGAAGGCGGUCUUCUGGGGCACUCUUGACGCUGAGGCGCGAAAGCUGGGGGAGCGAACGGG